GAGCGAGAAUCAGUUGAUCGGAGAUUCGUCAAAGUGAAGCUGAGGAAAGCGGCGGACGGGUGAGUAACGCGUAGGCAACCUGCCCUUAGCAGAGGGAUAGCCAUUGGAAACGAUGAUUAAAACCUCAUAAUGCUGUUGAGACACAUGUUUCGACAGCCAAAGAUUUAUCGGCUAAGGAUGGGCCUGCGUCUGAUUAACUAGUUGGUGAGGUAACGGCUCACCAAGGUGACGAUCAGUAGCCGACCUGAGAGGGUGAUCGGCCACAUUGGAACUGAGACACGGUCCAAACUUCUACGGAAGGCAGCAGUAAGGAAUCUUGCACAAUGGGGGAAACCCUGAUGCAGCAACGCCGCGUGAACGAUGAAGGCCUUAGGGUUGUAAAGUUCUGAUCUGUGGGAAGAAGAAGUGACGGUACCACAGGAGAAAGCCCCGGCUAAAUACGUGCCAGCAGCCGCGGUAAUACGUAUGGGGCAAGCGUUAUCCGGAAUUAUUGGGCGUAUAGAGUGCGUAGGUGGUUACCUAAGCGCAAGGUUUAAUCUUGAGGCUCAACCUCAUUCUGCCUUGCGAACUGGGCUACUUGAGUGCAGGAGGGGAAAGCGGAAUUCCCAGUGAAGCGGUGAAAUGCGUAGAUAUUGGGAAGAACACCGGUGGCGAAGGCGGCUUUCUGGACUGUAACUGACACUGAGGCACGAAAGCGUGGGGAGCAAACAGGAUUAGAUACCCUGGUAGUCCACGCCGUAAACGAUGAGCACUAGUUGUUGGGUACGAAUGUAUUCAGUGACGCAGUUAACGCAAUAAGUGCUCCGCCUGGGGAGUACGGUGGCAACACUAAAACUCAAUGGAAUUGACGGGGACCCGCACAAGCAGCGGAGCAUGUGGUUUAAUUCGAAGCAACGCGAAAAACCUUACCAGGGCUUGACAUCCCUCUGACCGGAUCCUAACCGAUCCUUUCUUCGGACAGAGGUGACAGGUGGUGCAUGGUUGUCGUCAGUUCGUGUCGUGAGAUGUUGGGUUAAGUCCCGCAACGAGCGCAACCCUUGUCGUCAGUUACUAACAUUAAGUUGAGGAC
rnacentral:rRNA from 1 species